rnacentral:lncRNA from 1 species
UCAAAGAUCUGCGGCGAGUGGGAGGCCAAGAAAUGGCGGCGUGACGCGUUGGGGGAGGGAGGAGAAGGAGGCGAGAGGGGGGAGGAGGAGGAGGAGGGGGUUAAAUUGGGAGGUGGGGUGGAUUCGGUGGGGAGACGGGGUCAGCCGUGGCGGCGGCUGGGGGGCGUGUGGGAAUCCGCCAGUGGUAAAGCCAACGACGAGGCCGCGGAGGAGGGGAGGAGGAAGGUAGGAGAAGACGGGGGUGCUGGUCAAAGAUCUCCCUCUCUCACUCGGCUCUCUCGGCUCUCCUUUUUGCAUCCUUUGCCCUCUUCUCUUCUCCCUAGUUUUUUUCUUUUUCUUUACUUUUUUUUCCUUUUCCUCUCAUUUUUUUAAGGGACAUUUAACUUAUUGCAACUUUUAAGCUGUAGCAAUUAAUUAUUUGUCACUCGUUUUAUAUGACAUGUGAACCGUCGUGUCUCUAUGACAUUUGGGUCCAGUGAUAAAUAAUUUAACACCACUUGUAAGUGGCAAAUAUUUAAUUAAUUCUUUUUUUAAGCUCUUCCUUUUCCUCUCGUGUUUAUUUUCCCCUCUGUUCCCCUUGCUUGUGCUAUGGUGUGUGUACCAAUGGUUUUAUGUUAAAGUAGUUGUUUAGGGCAUUGGUAAUGUGUGUGUUGAUUAUUGUUUUUUAUUAAUAAAGAUUAUUAAAAUGUAUGUAAGAAAAGCUUUUAAGAAAUUAUUAAUGACAUUUUUGCGUACCAAAGCUUUGGGAUGAGUCUAUAUUAUACCUUUUAUAACUGUCGGAUUUAUCUAAAAACACCACUCAACUAUAAAAAUGGACACUUUAUGUCACUCUACUAUGAAAUUAGACAAUUUACACUUACGCCACUCAAGUAUUAAGAUAUGAGAAAAUACCCUCUAAGAGUAAUACAAUUCGGUUUUGGAGGUGAUUUUUUAAAAACAUUUUGACAUCCAAAUAAUUUUUUUUCUUAUUUGUAUCGCACCCAAUUAGUAAGAUAUGUAAAAAAAUCAAUAUAAAUAAAAACAUGUAUUUUGUUUUUCUCUUAUCAUGAAACCACCAUCAAAAUCAAGUUGUAUUGUCCUUGGGAGAGGUAUUUUGCCCUUUUUAUUAGUUAGGAGUGUACAAUAUCCGGUUGCAUAGUUUUUAAACAAACCCGAUAACUGAGUGAUGUAAUAUAGGCUUAUCCCUACAUUUUAAUAUAUUUUCAUGCAUUAAUUGGUUAAGAUUUUGAUGUUUACCUAAAAAGUCUUAAAUUGAUAACUGUUUAAGAAGGGACUAUGUUGAUUGUGUUGCUUCUCUCGUUUUCCUCUUUAUCUCGUCUGAUGAUCUUGUUUUCUGGUUUCCCCCCAUCCCCCCCCCCCCCCCCCCCCACAUCUGAUAUUUUUGUUUUUUUGUGGUCCUGGUGUGGCGUUGUUUAUGAGGAAAAUGACUUUGAACAAAGUUUUCAUGAAGUGAUUGAAUAGGACUAAAAGAUAAGGAGAGGGUUAGGUGGGUGAUUAAAGUGACAUUAAGCAGCAUUUGUCCAGGUUUGCUGCCUAAUCAUAAGGGGGCAACUUGACGCUUUGAUGGGUACGGGAAGGUAGUUUAAUCAGAUUGUGGAAAAAUCUAGCUGAUGGUUAAUGCUAAUCGGUUUAGCUAUUGGUACUAAGAUGGUGUAAUUUCAACGAUAAAUCAAGAAAAAGUUGGUCGUACUCUUGUUGUAACACCAGGAUAUUCUUUUUCACUUCCUGAUAGAAUUGUGAAUUUAUUUUUCGAAAUAGACCCUCGUUGUAAAUUGUAACCACUUGUGUUCUGACAACUCCUGUUACAGAAAACAAAUCUAGCGUCACAGUUUUACUGAUAUGGUGGUUAGUCGUGAAUUAUCCGAAUAUACAUUUCCUUCUGCUUUGCAACAUCAGUGUAUCAGUAUUCAGUCAAGGUUUUGAGGGGCGACUAAUUCUCGCCUAAUUUGGGAUUGGUUCUUUCUUUUUGGCUACUGCAUGCCUGCUGUAUCAACUCCUGCUUGUCAAAUACAUCUAUAUGUCAACUUCCAAAAAGAAAGCAUCCUUGUGUUCAGCUAAAAUUUCUUCUGAAACAUUUGCAGAUUCAACAGAAAGUCAAUCGAAGCCAAUUCAACACAAAGUCCAUGGGCAAUGUUACACACGAGGGAAUUGACAGCUGAAAUGUGAAAGUGCGUAAUUCCUCAGUUGUUCAACCGCCUCCUUUUUUUUUGCGCAACUGCAUGCGUUGCGUACGUUUUCACAAGCUGAAUUUGUUCUUUAGCUUGUCGAGAAGAACGUCCACUCAAAAGUUUUAGCUUCAACUGUGGAACUAGUAUUAGUAUUUGUUCUUUAACUGUAGAGUAGUUGCUAUCCUGAACAUUUUGUAGAGUUUAAAAAUUUUGGUCAAAUCUUUGUACUACUUCCGCCGGUUCCACAGUACUUAAUGUGUCAGGGUUAUGGAUAUCACAUACCUAAUAGUAGUCGACUAAAUCUCGGCAGGACCCAACACAUACCAUGUCUUAUACGGAAACAACCUCCGGAUAUAGGAGGAGUUCCACAUAAGAAAAGAUGAAUAGAGUUUCUACAUGGAAACGAUAAGGACUACUCGGAUUGUAUCCAUAUUGGUCUCUCUGUUCUAUUUGGACAAGGGGACACCUAUGGGUAUAAAUACAAGACCCCCUAGGAGGAGAGAGGACACGGAACAAUAGAUCAAGACACAAGAUCAACAUACAAGCCAACAUGCGCCAAGAUAAGACGCCGGAUAUCGACUUCAGAGAUAAGCAUAGCUAGUCCCCUACGAUGUCUACGAAUACUGUUAGGAGAGACAUCGCGUUGUCUCUGAUCUCGCCGGGCACGAACUCGAUGAGGAAGACUACCCUAUUUUCGACUACGGGAUGGUUUCAUGGCCGCCAUAUCGACAACAGUUAGAUAGGCUACCCCAAAUAUUGCACUGGUGUGAUUAUGGUGAAUAAGAGCAACGACCGGCUUCGGCCAACAUGAUGUAGGGCUAUUACCUGACAAUUCAAGGGUCCGAACCUGUAUAAAAAUCCUCAUCUCUGUCUCUUUUACCUAAGUCUCGCAUAUAUCCUGGUACCAACGAUCCCCAUACUAUGCAAAUACCGGAAUCGUGACAUUAAACGUCGACAUAAUGUUUUGGAUAAAAUUAAGAUCAAAAUUUUAUAACUUUAAACUUCACACAUAUUUAACUUUAAGACACUAUAACAUAUAAAGUACUAUAAUAAAAGUAAAAAUAUAUACCAUCCCUCCAUAAAAAAAUUCAAACAUAGCUAUAAAUUUGAACACACAUGUGUUUCUUUCUAUCUAGAAUUAGGUUUCUUUAAAACAGAGAGAGUAUACCUAUUAUAUAUAUAUAUAUAUAUAUAUAUAUAUAUCAUAAUAGAAAAAUAUAGUUCAAGAUAUAUUUUAAAGACCGUGUUAUUGUUUAAAACGUUAAGAAUUAUAUAGCUAGAGAGGAUAUGUACUGUACGACGGAAUUCUGGUGGUGUUCUUUUCUCCUGAAGAUGAAGAUAAAGAUUAAGUUUUUUACGUAAAACAAGGUGGUAUUAAUGUAUGAUUUAUUGAGGUUUAAUUAUUACAAACUUAAAAAACAUAUUAAUAUGAUAUUUUAGAGGAACUUUCAUAUAGAAAGUUUUCGCACGAAACAUACCGUUUAGCAGUUUGAAAAGCAUGCCAUGAAAAUCUUAAUCUUCAUCCAACUCUUAUCGGAGAGAAGAACUUGGGCAUGUUUAGAUCCCUUGGUAAAAUUUUAUAUCAUGUCACAUCGAAUAUUUGGACACAUGUAUGGAGUAUUAAAUAUAAACGAAAAAAAUAACUAAUUACACAGAUUGCGUGUAAAUUAUGAGACGAAUCUUUUGAGCCUAAUUGCGUCAUGAUUUGACAAUGUAGUGCUAUAGUAAACAUUUACUAAUGACAGAUUAAUUAGGCUAAAUAAAUUCAUCUCGCGGUUUACAUAUGGAUUCUGUAAUUUGUUUUGUUAUUAGACUACGUUCAAUAUUUUAAAUGUGUGUCCGUAUAUCUGAUGUGACACGCCAAAAUUUUAUACCCGUGGAUCUAAACAAAGCAUAAGUUUGAACCCAUUUUCCUAUUUGAAGCAGACGUGGCCACUCGUUCAUCUUUUUCAUGUUCCACGCGGUGGGUUCUGUGGCUGUUGCCCGUGUUCCUUAACUGUCACAGGCUCACAGCUCACAUCGUCAUGGUUUUUCAUCCACUACUCGUAGAGAUCCACUUCUCAUGAAUUCAUGGCCGGGGGUCGCUGUCUGCACGAACCGGGCAUUUAUGUUUCCGUGUUGUCUCGCCUUGCAUCCGGUGGAUGCUAAAAGCGCCCCAGCCGAAGAGCGUGCCAAGAGAACAGCAAGGGAAAGGGACACGGUCAGGUGUUCACACCCUCUGCGGUGGUGUUAUUUAUUUAUUUAUUUAUUUUGUUAAGAUACAUAUUUUACCUUUAUUUUGUUAGCAAUUUUUUUCAAUCGGUUUAACAGUAUGUUUUUUUCCAGAUAAUUUUCUAUAUAAAAACUGUUUUAAAUAUCAAACAAAUCUAUUUUUCAAGUUUACAAUAAUUAUAACUAAUCAUAUGUUAAUUGUUUUUUCAUUUUACGUGAUCUUACUACAACAUCAUUGUUUCACCUAUUCUUAUACUUAUUUGUAUCGCUUAUUGUAAAUAAAAAAUAAUCUAUAGCAUGUUCUUAACGGUAAAAGGCAAAUGUUAUAAAAUACUAUUUAUAAGUGUGUUAAUCUUCGUCUUCAUCUGACCAAGUUCAAAUGGGACCUGUGUCUCGCGGUUUCGUGGUACUAGUUAAGAUCCUACACGGAGCAUUCGGUGCAUAUAUAGUGACUUGGUAGUCAUAUCAUGUGGGUGAGAUUUCUCCGUGGAAUUACGUGAUCUACCACAGGACUUUAAGUGAGUAGUUGUGUGUGUGGGGUAUGAGAUUGCGUUGCACCGUCCAUGAGCUCAAGGCUGCACCAUAGGUCAAGAGUUUGAAUUCUGUUCCUACCUGAAUGUGAAAUAGAAGGAUAAAAAGAGCAGGUUUGUACAUUUUCUCAAAGAAAUUGUCAGGUUUUCGAUCACUUGGAAAAUACCAUAAAAUUAAUGGCUAGGAUUACUCGAGAUUCGUGGAUACAAUAACUUUAUCCCCUCAUAUUCUUCCCCGCAAGCUCGUCCGCUCGUUCUCAUUUCAUUUGACGCCUUACAGAUUGAAGCGCUUGCCGUCGUCUCCCCUGCCCGACUGCAACGCCCCUCCCCGGUCUCACCGACUAACCGAAAAGCGUGAAAGUUAUUAGUAAGGCCCAACGCACCAGUCGGCCUCCUCCCUUUCCUCCUCUCUCCUUCUCGUCCUCCCUAAGUUGGGUGGCGACACUAUUCCCCACCCCUGCCUUGCCUCACCUCCUUUGAGCUGGAUACAUCGUCAACCCCACCCACCGCUAUCCUUCAUCCAUGUGACUUCAGUGACACCCCCCGUCCACUGCCGUCACCCAAAGCCAUCCCUCUAAACCCCAGGGAAUCCCCUCCCACCUCUGCCCCCACCCCAGCGCUAAACUCUAACCUCAUAGCCAUCUCAUUAUUGUCAUCGAAGAAGAGCACAUCAUCGCCGGGAAGUCACCAUCACAAGUGGGUCGUAUUUUUUCUCCCCACCCUACCCCAGCACACAAAUCAACUCUUGAAGACAACUCCCUAUCGGUCAGGGAGCAUGUGAGGUCUCACCUUAUAACUAGCAAAUCGCUUUGUCAAAUUACAUCUUACAUUUUACAUUUUAUAUAGAGGAAAGGCACAUACCUGACUGUUUUUAUAUAGAGGAAAGGCACAUACAUGACUGUGUUUCCUAAAUUCUGAUCAUUUUUAUAUCAACUAUAGAUAGACAAUUUUACUCCAAUUAAUUUGUCUUGUCCAAUGAACAUGGACACUUGUUCAGGUUCUUAUCCAGGUUCAUUGUUUUAGUGUUUUAGGACAUGUCACAUUCUAUCCAGUUUUUUUUUAACCGAGGAGUAAUUUAAACGUAACUUGUGCAGUGAAGCAAGCGGUCAGUGCUGCAAUCGGCUGAGCAGCAGGUCUCUUCCCUGAUAGCACGAAUUUCAAAGCAUAUCGGAUGGCAAAAAAAAUAAAAAAAAUCUAGCCCUAUUUACAGUAGGUACAAUAGCAGACUAUAAGCCAUCUAUAAAUAAAUUUCGAGGAGAUAAAAGAAAAGAGUGAAGAGCAGCGAGCGAGCUACAAAUUUGUAGCCAGCUGUAGCACGGACUCCAAGAUGCAAUGUGUAUAUGACAGGUGAGAGUAGAUAUCUAUUAACUUAUUAAAGGAAUAGAAAAAUGAGCCUCUACGUUCGCUCUCACGGCCUAGAAAUUAUCAUAUUAAUCGGAAAAAAAGAAAAAUAGAGUCCAUAUAGAAAUACAAUUUAGAAAUAGUUGAAAUUCGGAAUUAAAAAAUAAAGAAUAUUGGAAGAGGUGACUACAGUCCAUAUAGAAAUACAAUUUAGAAAUAACUGAAAUUCGGAAUUAAAAAAAAAGAAUAUUAGAAGAAGAGUAUAGAGUCCAUAUAGAAAUACAAUUAAGAAAUAAUAGAAAUUCGGAAUUAAAAAUAAUGAAUAUUAGAAGUAGAGUAUAGAGUACAUAUAGGAAUAUAAAACUAACUAAAAUUCAUAAUAAACAUAAUAAAAUUAAAAGUAGAGUUUAGAGUCCGUAUAAAAAUGCAAUUUACAAAUAAAUAAAAUUCAAAAUAAAAAAACAUGGGAAGAAGAGUUUAAAAUCAAUAUAGGAAUAGUAACUAGAAUUUGAAAUCAAAAAUUAAAGAAUAUUGAAAGAUAAGUUUAGAGUUAACUUAGAAAUACAAUUAAAAAUAAUAAAAAUUUAGAAUUAAAAAUAAGUAAUAUUGGAAGAAGAGCCUAGAGUCUAUAUAGAAAUACAAUUCACAGAUAACAAAAAUUCGGAAUUAAAAAAAAGAAAUAUUGAAAGAAAAGUCUAGAGUCCAUAUAGGAAUAUAAUUUAGAAAUAAAUAAAAUUUUAUAUUAAAAAUAAUUAAUAACUAACACGUAUAUAAAAUACAAUAUAAACAUUACACAUUAAUAGUUUCGUAAAGUUAGUACAAAAUUUUAAAUUAUGUUAUAAUUUUAAUAUAUUUUAAUAAUAAAUUCAGAAAACAUAUAUGCUAUUAUAUGAGAUAAAAUAUAAUUAUAUUAGCUGCGCAAUCUACGCGGCCACUAUGCUAGUUAAUAGUGUAGUAUAUGUUUAUAGGUAACUAUCAUAUAAAUUGGCCAUUAAUUUGUCUAUAGAUAAUUUGAAGCUAGUAGCGAGCUAUACUAUUAAACUUGCACUUAGGUUGUGUUUAGAUCCAAGGUUGAAAAUUUUUACUGUGUCACAUCGGAUAUACGGACAUACAUUGUCUAAUAACAAAAUAAAUUACAGAAUUCAUCAAUAAACCGCGAGACGAAUUUAUUAAGCCUAAUUAAUCUAUCAUUAGCAAAUAUUUACUGCAACACCACAUUGUCAAAUUAUAGAGCAAUUAGGCUUAAAAGAUUCGUCUCGCAAAUUAGUCACAAUUUGUGUAAUUAGUUAUUUUUAGCCAAUAUUUAAUAUUUAAUGCAGAUGUUCUGUGACAGGGUGGAAAAUUUUAGGGUGGAUCUAAAACAGGGUUUUAUUCUCGACGGUACAAUACCAAAUCCGUCUAUUAUAUUCGCGCGAAUAUGCUCGGCCAGUCCACCUGUCACGCGAGGCAUGAGAAGGGCGACCGAGCCGGGUGGAGCUGAGCGAGUGGUGGUGCUGCUGCAGCCGCCGCCGCCGCCGCCUGCAGGCGUGCUGAAAACAAGUCCAUGCCAUGGUGGACGAGAACACUGUGGACGUGGUCAGCCAUGGAUGGUGGCGAUUUGGACAGCCUCGCGACCACGACAUAUACUAGUAGUACUCACAUAUAUACGACGACUAGCCAAAGGUGAUUGCUUUAAUCAAACACCGGCGAUGUUCGCGUUCCUCUGGAAGUUGGUGCAGUUUCUCUCCUCCUCCUCCUCUUCUUUUUUAAUUUUUCGUCCCUAAAGAACAGAAGAAGUCUCAUGUCUAAAGUGAUACUCUUCGAGUCUUGACGGCCAGAAUUGUCAGACUGUGUGAUCCAGAAGCAAGCUAAAGAAAGGGAGUAUACGGUCCAGAAACACGUUAAUAAAGGGAAAGGAAAAGGGUUGUCUAUUCUUGCUUCAGUCUGACUGUGCUUGCCGUGUCCGUCGCAUUGCCGUCGUGGUCAAACAAACGCCCCAAUGGAAGCUGUAAACCUCAUUCAGUCAACAAAUAAUGUGAGAUCAGAACUGGCUCACCUGAUUCGGGAGAUAUGAGUUGAUCUCAGGAAACAGGGAAAUAACUAUUAAGAAAGUGUUGCAAUGCCAGAAUACUGUUAGUCACUUCCUAGCUAAUAGGGGUCGGACUGUGUCUCGAUCUGAGUUUUGGCCAGACAACACUUGUAACCUCAUAACACACCUUGUGUGUGAGGAUUCUUUGAUUGAUUAAUGAAAUUUCCCUUUUUCCCCGGAAAAAAAAAACAAACGCCCCAAUGGAAACAUCUCCCGUUGCUAACGCGUGAAUAGACAUGUGUUCCCAACUCUCAAGUUUUCCAGGUAGGACCUGCUCUCUAUGGUUCGGGGCCAUAUAUCGCCUUUUGAUCGAUAACCACGAAAUCUGUGAAUUUCAGGCAGAUUAAUUAUUUAUCCAAAAUAAAAUAAAAUAAAAUUUAGUAUGAUUUUUUAUGAAUUUAGUGAAAUUAUUAAAUGGCUUUCGAUGUGUAAGCACUAUGACAGUGUUUCUCUCCACUUGUCUGCCACUCCGUCUAAAAAAACAUAACCUUAGUGAGUUUUUUUUUUUUCGAAUGGAGUACUUUCAUUACUUGGUCAUCGAGCGGGCAAAAAUGCAAACUACUCCAAAUUCCAAAAUGGGAGUGGCAGCCGAUACAAAGACAAGCGGUGGACUUGUGGGCCUGUGGCUUGUGGGUGAUCAGCCCGGAUGGCUUGCUUUUCUGUUAGUGGGCUGGGAGGUGAAGGCGAUAAGCUUAGGUGGGCUGGCUUGCUGCUACGCUCGACAGAAAGCGGGCUGGGCAAGAUGGGGAGGCAGGCCGUGGCUAACGCUUGAUCUCUUUUUGUGGCCUCUUGCCUCAUGGGUGGCUUUUAGUGUGAGAAAUGAACAAGGCUACGAAGCAGUACUUUGUUGCCCUCUUUAGCCGAUCCUUCCAUCGAUUUCAACUGUCAAUAGUGUCAUUCGCUACAGAUCUCGACGCCAAACCAAAAAAAAAUAAAGUUUCGAGCCAAUGUUGGAACCUCUGGAAGGUAGACUUUUCGAAAUGGAGGACGAUCAGAUGCGUAAUGGAAGGGGAAAACAGAGUAUAAGAUCGCACCACUGAGCAGUGAGCAUGAGGGUUCGGCUUUCCGUGACAGGUACUAUUGGUGCACGCGUUGGAGGGGACGAGAGUUGCAAAAUGCCGGAUGAAAGAGCUUCACGACUUCACGUGUGGUUUGGUUUUUAUUUACUCGACGGGUCCCUACACGAUGCUACUGCUACACAUGAACGUGAUGCGCGUGUCAUCCGCCUCGUACAGUCGUACCUCCAAUGUACCGCCAGGCGGUGCGCGCGCCGGCAAAAUCCUUUCGGUCACAGGAUCACGGCCGGUAACACUCGUACACGGUCACACGGAUACGUACAUCUCGGAACAAUUUGAUGCGUUCGGGUCAUCUGAAAUUAAUAAGUGCAGUGCUUCAUCCUCGUUGUAACUUGUAACCCAUAAUUGUGCUUCUUACUAGUGUUUUUUGUUCCCUUCCUGGAGCAACAAUGCCCAUCAGAGAGAGGGGAGACUGCAGUUCACAGCCGUGCGCCAGACAUUCCCAGUGUCCCAGCACCGUGUACCCUCUUUCUCGUUAACGAUCGAUUGAGCAAAAUUAAUGGGACUCGGUGUUGGGCUGGAGACUGGAAGACAGGCACUUCCAAGUAUGUAAACGUAACACUUAUCAAAGCAUCCUGCUUUAAGCUAGCCUCUAACCCGGCCUCAUUAAGUUAGCCCAAUUUCCUGGCCCAUGUACGCAGAUAGGCUAGAUCUAUUAUAUUAUUAAGACAGCUCGAAAAGAAGACAUCACGUUUACCGUGGAGGCUAGAAAUUCUCACGUUAAUCGAAGAAAAUAUAAAUUAUUUACACCGUUGGAUUGUAAGAGGCAUAGAUUUCAAUGUCUGAGAUUUAACACAAACUUAGCAUGUUAACUGAAUUAGAAUCAAUCUCUAACUAGGAUCUUUACAUGCAAACGGACUCAAAAUAGUUUUGUCCGAUUUUCUAAACUUAAGUUAGGUUCUAGAAUAGUUAGGCUAUAAUGUAUAGUAGCAACGGAAAUCCACAGCAGCAGGUCGAGCCGCGCGGCUGCACGAUGAGCAAGAAUUGGACGAUGCACGUCAACAAACAGAAGGAACGAUGGCAUGUGCACAGCAGCUAGCCAGGUGCACACCUUAAGCGAUACAAUUAAAAAGUUUUCCUUUGAAAAUAUAGGUUCCAAAAUAAACUUAAAAAUAAAAUUUGGAAUAAAAAUAUAAUACCAAUAAUAAAUAUGUAAAUAUUCUUUGCCAAAUAUGUACAUUUAUCUAUAUAUAUAUUAUUAAGAUAGCUUUAGAAAAAUCAUCAGAGACAUAAAAAAAACGUAGAAAUCUUUAUUAUUAAGACAACUCGAAAAGAAUGUGCCAUAUUUAUUCUAAAAGAUAUAAAUUAUCACAUUAAUCGAAGAAUAAAUUCCAAGCCAUUAGACUGUGGUAGAACCAAAUUAGAACGGUGAAGAUUGAUAACAGAAAUAUAUGUAAUAUAAUUAUAUCUUUAGAACUAAACAAUGGUAUAUAGAAGAGUACAGUGACAGCAUUUGAUGAGACUUCUAAAUAUUAUAAAAAUGAAACGAAACAAGAUAAUAAACUCUAAAAAGUACAAGGUCCAAUUUUUAAAGGUUCGGGACUUUUAAAAAGUAAAAAGAACAAUGAAAAUAAUGUUCCAAUUUAAAAUCUCAAUGAAAUAAAGAGAGGAGGGAGCAUGCGAGCCAUAGAAUAGUACAAUGGCAAAGCCGAUAAUUGUUUGGUGGGACUUUUAGAAAGUAAAAAAAUGAACUCAAACAAUAAUUAUGUUUGAUUUUUAGAAUCCCAAUGACAAUAAAGAGAGGAGGCAGCAGACGGGUUAUAGAAGAGUAUAGUGGUAGUGUUUGAUGAGACUUCUAAAAAUAUAAAAAUGAAACUCAACGAAAAUAAACUCUAAAAAUUACCAGGUCCUAUUUUUAAAGAUUCGGAACUUCUAAAAAGUAAAAAAAAUGAUAAUAAUGUUCGAUUUUAAAAUCUCAACGACAAUAAAGAGGGGAGGCAGCGGACGGGCCGUAGAAGAGUACAGUGGCAAAGCCGCUAACGGUUUGGCGGGAGUUCUAUAAAGUAAAAAAUAAACCCAAACAAUAAUUAUGUUCGAUUUUAAAAAUCCCAAUAACAAUAAAGAAAUGAGGCAACGGAUGGGCAAUAUAGGAGUAGAGUGGCAGUGUUUGAUGGGAUUUCUAAAAAUUAUAAAAACGAAACCCUAAGAGACAAUAAACUCUAAAAAUUAUAAGAUCAAAAUUUUAAAGUUUCCAAGGAGAAUGAAUAGGAAUAGUGAUAGAUCGAGCAAGCAAAUAAAAAAUAGGGUAACUUUUAAAAACUAUAAAAUUAAACACGAGGAUGAUAUGGUUUGAUUUUUAAAAGUUUUAAAAUAAUGAGAUAACUAUUUAUUCAAUAAAAUUUAAGUAAAAUCAUAUUAAAAAUAGAUAAUUUUAUAUGGAUGCUAGCCGCGCAAUUGCGCGGGCCACCCAGCUAGUUCUUAUUAUCCCAGACAGGCAGCAUCAUGCAGAAAGUGGGGUAUCCUACCACUUUACAGUAGAUCCACAGUACACGGUAUACUGAGUUGAGUUCAAAAAGGAGGUGUACCCAGUUAGCGCUCGCAAGUACGAGUACAAGAACGAAAGGCAAAUUAUAUCAAACACUUAUCAUUUCGAUGAUACAUUAGGGCGAUCCAUAACGUACAUUCACAAUACACACACUUGCAUCAUCAUCAUCAUCGUACUCCAUACACGGUACACGUACGCACACGUACACACGGCUCCCUCGUUUCGUACAAUCUGAAGGAGAGUCGACCACGCACGCGUGCAGGCACUCUACCUUGGUUACAAUUUGUACUAACGUAAACCCGCCCAGUACCCUGCACGGCUGCACCCGUCGUACCGUGUACUACACGGCCACGUCCCCGUACGCGAAAAAACACCAAACACGUAUACCGUUACGCACCCCGGGCUCCACCUUACGUGGCAGCAUCAGCUCGCCGGCGGUGAUGGAUGGAUGGAUGCUCACGAUUGGUGGCACCCGCCGAGCGGGGCGCCGCCGGCGCACUGGUUGUGCUCGUACGGCUUGCAGCCGUGGCGGAUGACGCCGUGCAGCCUCGGGAGCGGGCCGCAGAGGCGGUUGUAGCUGAGGUCCAGCGUCUGCAGCGUGGAGAGCGCGGCGAGGGAGCGUGGCACGGUGCCCCUGAUGCGGUUGUGGCUGAGGUCCAGGUAGGUGAGCUCCGGCGGGAAGACGAGCUUGCUGAGGUCGAAGUCGAGGUCGUUCCACGAGAGGUCCACCUUGCCGAUGGGCCGGCCGGCGGCGAAGAGGAAGGAGGCGUCGCCGGUGAGGCGGUUGUGCGAGAGGUCGACGGUGUUGAUCUCGUCCUGCGCGUCGUCGCGCGGGAUCGGGCCGGUGAGCUGGUUGUAGGAGAGGAUCAGCGACCUGAACUGCCCCUGCACGAGCCCCGCCGGGAUGCAACCCGUCAGCUUGUUGCUGCGGAGGUCAAGCGACCGGAGGUUCGGGAGGUCGGAGAAGGAGUUCGGGAUGGGGCCGGUCAGGCUGUUGUGGGAGAGGUCGACGGAGUCGAGGCUGCGGAUCCGCGCGAGCGAGUCCGGGAUGACGCCGGAGACGUUGGUGUGGGAGAUGGUGAGGAACUGGAGGUUGGAGAGCGCGGUGAGGCACGCCGGGAUGGGGCCGGAGAGGCCCGGGAGGCGGAACAGCGACAGCGACAUGAGCGCCGUCAGCCCCGCCACGGCGGACGGGAUCUGGCCGCGGACGUCGUUGGCGCCGUCGAUGAAGACGUUGUUCACGCGCCCGGCCUCGUCGCACCGGACGUGGUCCCACUCGCAGCAGUCCGCCGACGCCAGGGACCACGUCGACAGCGUCGCCGGGUUUCCCAGCGACUGCUUCACUCUCAUCAGCGCCUGCUUGUCGCUCGGCGGGCAUCGCACCGCCCUCGCCGGCGCCGCCGCGACGGCCACCGCCAGCAAGACGGCGAGCAUGAAAGAGGCGGUGGACGCCAUUGUAUCUACCUGAACUAGGCUCGUGUGGCUGGAGCUGGCUUGAGUGUGUGUGAGUGAGUGCGGGAGUGAUGAGCUCUCGAGGGUGGUAUAAAAAGAGCCGCGCGUGGAGGCGUCAGGAUCAGUGUGCAUGCAUGAUGGGAUAAACGAUACAUUUUCCUCCCAUUUUUUUUCUCUCUCCCUCUCAUAUCCUUUUUUUGACCACCCAUCGAACCGGGACAUGCUUGGGCUCGGGGCCUCGGACACCGAGACGGCCAGCGGUGCGGUGGUACUACGAGCGGACACGAGAAGGAUUCGCGGUGAAUGAUGAGUGAAAACGAAUCAAUCCCUGACACCGCAACAUGCCAAACGCACACACACGCACAGGCACAGAGAUAGGUGGUGCCGUGGUGGUGAUAACCGGGAAGCAUCGCCGUGGGUUCGGCCACGGCCGGCGCGUGAUUGGUGCGUGCAUGAUUAGCAAUGGCAUGUGGGAUGGGAACGAACUGGGGCUUUCGCCCGCUCCGUGCUCCGGCCAGCGCCCACAUUGCUGGGUGCAGAAGCAGAAAGCAGAAGCCGCUCGCUCCGCCCGCCCGGCCGGCCGGGCGGCACGGCACGCACUCGUAUUAACUCGCGGACAUGUGCGCUCGGAUCUCCCGGAGCCUCAAGACGGGGGCGUCGCGUAGCUAAGCUAGCACCUGUUCUGGAUACGCUUGUCUCGGUUAUGAUCGGCAAAGGGCCGCAAAUGGACGGGAAGACAGCUCGUUUUCCGUGUAAGUCAACAUGAUAGGAGUACUAGCAAUGAGGAGGUUAUUUAAAUCCACAUGAAACAAUUAUACGCAGUUUGCAAAUUGCAGCCCCCUCUGAUUGAAUUCGCAUAUAAUGAGUAUCCCGCACUAAUUAUUUCGGAUGAGAAAAGGUCGAAGUGCAUGUUCUACUGUUCGAUUUCGUAGAGAUAUGCAUUGCAUUAUCGUGUCGCAGGGAUUAGAUCGAUCACAUAUAGCACAGGCCCACGAGAGACAAUCAAGGAGACGUCGUCACGUCGCUCGCACUGUCGCAGGCGGUGGUGCAUGCAUGAAUGCAAACUGAGUAGCUGACCAGGUCCAUCACUCCACCAGCCCGUGAAAAAACGUACUAGUAGCAGGAGGACGGACACAGCAGCAGCGAGAGCCACCGUCGCCGCGCCACGUACUCGCACAAGCCGCGGCCCACCACACCGCCACCCAUGCACGCGACGUCUCUGUCCGAUCCCCUGAACUGAAACGCUGUCACGCUGGAGCGCGCACAAGCCAAAGGUGCUCCCUGUCCGACUCGGCGCGCGCUUGCCCGUAUCACGUCUUCAGCGAGCGAGACGAGAGGAGGAGGCACGCAGCGGCGGCCAUGUGGGGGCUAAAUAAUGCGGCAUGGACGUGGUCCGACAGGGUUCAGGCCGGCACGAGAGCGCAUGUGGAGGCUUGGGCGGCGAGGGGAAAAGAAAGGAUUCUUUCGGCUUUCUGGGCUGGCUGCCCGGGCCGCUUGCAGCUUUGCGUUAAACCUCCCCCUUGUAGAAAAUGCAGUAGAGAUUUCGGAGGUUUGGAAUCUCAUUAUGAUGCUUUAGAACCAAGAAAUGACUCCCCUAUCAUGUUUCACAUAUUUAUGUAGAUCUAGUUUAUAUAGGAUUUAACAAAGAUAAUUCAAUCUUGCGUUGCAAUUUGCAGAGCUGCCUUGACGCUUGACGCUUUUGCUCUGUGCUCUGCGGUUCGGCCUGGCCGUCCAGCUACGCACCCACAUGCAUCGACCGAACUGGAGAUAGAUGUACCCCGCCUGGGCGCUGCUCUGUCCAGUCUCUGCCUCUGCUCGCACCGGGCACACCAGUUUCACCAGCGAGCGUGCGGUACGCCAGCACCACCAGACCAGAUAGCACCGUCGUCUCUGCGAUUUCUUUACGCGAAAAGCAGGGCGGGUUGGUUGGAUCGCGAAACCGAUCAGCCGAGGCGACGCCGCGACGGAGAGAUUGUGCCAGCGUCAAGUUGCAUGCCGACGUAACACACUUGAUUUUCUUUAGUACUGAGAUUUGUGCGAGGUACUAGUAGUAGUCGUAGCUUUGGCUCUCCAUGCGAUUCUUGGCUGCCAAAGCGGUGGCUGAUGCCUCCGUGGUUUGUUUUGGUGCGUCGUGGUGUUCAUCGCAGGAUCUCUCACGUGUUGACUGAAAAUUGUUGUAUUAGGUGUAGUCUCCAGGUUGCAGCUUUUUAACGACGGGGAAUUAUAAUCAGCCUAUAUGGGUGGUGUAUCCUUUUGAAUUUUAGUACGUACGAGCACAUCACACGACAAAUACUCUAUUACUGCUACAGUCACCAGCGCAAACAUUUCUUAACAGAGAUAUUAUUGUACUAUCGGCCAGCUAGCACUUGUAUACUUUUCAUUUUGGAUCGGUUCCGCCCUGAACGGCAUUCAUCUCUCUCUUUUUCUCAGUGUAUACUACAGACCGAGUGAAAAAUAGUUGCACCGUGCGCGUGGGACAGCUCGCAGUAAUUCUUCUUCAAAACUAGUACUGCUGUUCAUUCAUCAGAUGACAAAAUGACAACCAGCAACUAGCUGGCGGCCUGGCGCUGCAGCACUUGGUGGCACACCCAUCACGUGCCUGUAACGAGAAGAAAAAAAAACUUACUACUACCACAGUACUAUUCUCUCUAAAAAGAAUCCAAUUGGUGGCUAGGAUUGAGUUUUCUUAGACGAAGAGGUUAGCUGGCUGCUACUCCUUCCGUCCUAUAAUAUAAAGGAUUUUGAUAUUUUACUUGUACUGUUUGACUAUUCAUCUUAUUAAAAAAAAUUUAGAAUUAUUAUUUAUUUUUUGUGUGACUUACUUUAUUAUCUAAAGUACUAUAAGCAUAACUUUUUGUUUUUUAUAUUUACAUAAAUUUUUUAAAUAAGAUAAGUAAUUAAACAGUACAUGUAAAAUAUUAAAAUCUCUUGUAUUAGAGGACAGAGGGAGUAGUAGUUAUAGUACUCCACGCUCCACAGGCAACAACAGUGAAUACUCUCCCUCACGCAUGGAUAAGUUCAAUCGCUAACGUUCGUAGCCCUCUGCCCCCUCCCGUCCCUAGCUGCCCUACCCGGCCAGAAUAACCAGAUGACAGCCAAGCCGUGGAGGGCGAUCCGUCCUUUGCCCAGUUGCCCCCGUGCGAUCAUUACCUCCCCAGAUCCGAGCUGCUCCCACCCUCCCACCGUGUCACGAUCGAAGAACUGCAUGCACCAUGCAUCCGCGACCGCGACGGCGCGGCGGCACCGCAACCGGCCGCGGCCCAUGCAUAUCCCCCACGCGCGGUUUUGACGAGCCGCACGCAAGCCACGCGCACCGGCAGGUUGCCGGCUACCGACGAGCGCUCCCUCGCGGUCGCGGGCGGGCGGGGCGCGGUGUGCCGGUGUCGCGGCGGAGGCAUGGGCACUUGUCGCGGAUGGGAUGCGCAUGCGCGGAUCUGGGGAGACGCACAUGCCGCGGCGGGGAGAGGAGAGACGUGACGCGCGGUGCGGGUUUCUUGGGGGGCGGAAAUGAAUUGGGGGAGGACGUGGACGCUGCCCAAGAUCUGCGUAGCACGCCUGAAGUGCCGUUCCCAUCGGCGAAACGCGAAAUGAUCGUUCGUUUCUUCUCAUCGCCGCGUCAGCGCUUCGAUGAGAAAUACUUCUACAAUACUGGCAUGCUGCUGCUACGACUAACCUAGGCUCGAUUCGGCAAGGCUAUGUAGGAGAUGAUAUUUUGUGGUGGUAUGAACGAGCCACUCGCUCGGGUCACGGCACAUGAGGUGUAUGGUUGUUGGACUGCAGCUCUGCACGCAUCGAGGAGAGAAAAAAAAGGCUGAGAGCAUGUUCUUCGCUCAGAUAAACUAAUCUCUUUAUGUACGAGACUCGCUCUUAAAAAAGGGAUACGAUCCACAUGCGAACAGAAUAAGCAACGGGGAAUUAAUGAUCUAGCAUAAAAAGACCAAGUAAAGACGGGAAAUACAUGGGUGGGGUUUGACGUCGGGUCAAAGAUCGAUCAACCUGUCCGUGUACCACAUGUGCUAAAUCAGGGUUCCUUGUUUAUCACCCUGACGAAACAGGACACAAACCAAAAUGCACUAUAACUACGACUCAGAAAUCAGAAUCCUGCUCAGGGGAAAACGAAAGCGAAUGAUAAAGCUGGACGACGUGUCGACGUUUACGGGAACUUCAAAAGAGAGAGAGAUAGAGAACGCUAACUUUACAGAUCUGAACGAGAUAAUCCAAAGCGGCGAGAAAAAGAAAGCGAAAAAAAAAACAGAAGAGCCAAAUAAACAGACAAGCUGAAAAGGCUAAACCAGUACAGUACUCCAUUAGCGACACAGUAGAAGAUCGUAGAGCUCUGGACCGCUACCACACCAGAGCAGCUCUGUGCUGCUUCUCUUCUCCCCUCUCACACGGCCAUUGUCGACAGCGCAUUCAAGCUCUGCGUUUAUGACACCCAGGAUGUUUACUGCAUACAGUGGCACUUCAGAAUUCCUAUCCUUCAGAGGGAAAGUAGAGUGCAUUUACAGCCGACCUUAUCAUCAUCUCCUGAUAUAUGCAUCUGUACAUCUGCUGUAUUUGAUGUGUGGUCCAGGGUUGCCAAUGUUCAAUUUUCUUACAUGUGCCGUGUUUGAUCACCAAGAUGCCCAAGUCUCUGACCAAAAUGUAUUUUGAUAAAAAAAGAGGAGAAAUUUUCACCCUUUCUGCUAAAAGCUAGGCAGAAACUGGAUACACCUGCAAGUCCCAUACAGCCAUAACCUUCCAGGAGAUAGCGUCAAAAGACCAUACAGGCAUGUGCAAAACGUCCUACUAUUAUUGAAUUCCCAGAGCCAACAAAAUGAUUCAUUUAGAACGUAUGGGUGCUAAAUACAAAAAGAAGAUAUGGUUGAAUACACAUGAAUCAUGAUCUAUUUUACUAGCAUAUCAUAUCACUUCUUGCUAUAACAAAUUUAUAUGCCUAGUCUAGAAGCUACUUGAAUUGCUGGUCUGCUGGAUUAACCAUAGGCACCCUCUCAAUUCUUACAGGCUGAUCGACGCCGUCCACGGAAGGUUUGAUGUAAAGAUUGAACACAACGUUGGUGAAUAUCGUGAGGAUAACAAGUGCAAGUGUUGAGAAUGUUACAUACGUUGGAGAAAAUUCAGGAAGUUCAUCUUUUGAUCCCCGCCCAGUUAUCAUAUCUCGGUCCAUGUAAGGGUCUGUUUCAAGCAAAUCACAGUUAGAUCGGAGUCCAUCUCACUGUGAUGUUAACAUUGUUAAGAACAACUGAUCAAUAAACCAUGAUGCUGAUGCAACGUGGUAGCUCUCCUAAAGACAACUGGAUGGGUUUUCAGAGCAAUAGAGACUCAAGAUGCAAACAUUAUUACUGUGUUUCAAAGCUCUGUCUGCCACUUUUGGAUGGCUUCAUCCCCACUGAACUGUUGCUGUUGUCCUUAGGUUCUUCAUAAAUGACAAUAUGGCAUGUUGUGCUACUGCAUACAGAAGCAAUGAAGCAUUUGUCCAAGUCAUGGGUGAGGCCCCUAUAAACGUUGCAUACUUGCAUAAUGUCAGAGGUUUCAUUAAUUGAGUAGUUUCAGUACAGAGGACUGAUCCAUCUCCACCAAACACUUUAUAAAAAAUAUUUAUAUUUGUUGCUGAGAGAUCUGUCCUGCCGACCUUUUAAAGCUCUUGAUCUGAUCAUUGACAAAGUUAGUAUGAGUGAGCCUAGUAUGUUGCAUAAUGCAUUGAGGUCUCCACGAACAGUUUCAGCCGAUUGAAUGAUCCAUCUCUUCUAUUUUAAACAUAUAUUCCAUCUCCAAAUAUAUAGGUCAUUGCAGGAUAACUAUGGACAACAUCUUAAAACUUUGAUCAAUAGUAUAUGUAAAAGUAGAACACUAUACAUAUAAUUUUGACUACUUAAUCAAUCAUAAUCUCAUUAGAUUUUUUGGGUUAACGAGCUUGAGAAAACGAAGAUGCUUGCACGCACAAACUAGUGUAAGUUUACCACUAAAAGUUUUCAGUUGAUAUCAAUUACUGACCCUGAUGAACAUAGUGAAUUGUUGAUGAAAUGGACACAGCGCACAUGUAAACUGGAAAAGCAAUUUGCCAUGAGCCCAUGAGAGGAGGGACGAGGUAGGCAAAAGCCCAACGGGACGUACCCGGUGGAAGAGGCGGCGCCGGCGGCCGUUCCCUGGGCUCGGAAAGCCCCUCCAGCUGCGAGUCGAGCUCCGCCAGCCGCCGCAGCGCCUCCUCAGCCCGCGGCUCGCGCUCCUCCCCCGACCCCGGCCCCGGCCCCUUCUCCGACGACGAGAAGGCGACCACGUCGGAGCACCGCCUCCUCCCGCUUCCGCCCACUGCACGUGUGUUAUCGGCGAGGAAUCUCAAGCUCGCUCCGCCGACGGCGAUCGCCGGGAACGGGACGAAGCGGAGAUGCAUCCUCGCCGCCGCGCACAGCCGCGAUGUGGAUAACGUACUGAAGGAUUUCUUUUCGAUUUUAGCGAGAUAAUAACUGGGCUGGAUCUAAGCCCAAUAAGGCCCAUUAUUAUCUCACGAUGGGCUUAGCCCAAAAUGGGCCCAGUUUUAGCGGUCGGCGUGGGGGCCCAUAAGAUGGGAUCUCGUGUUCCCCACCGGCCACGGCCAUCAGAUUCGUCGUGUGUAGCGAAGCACUCGACGGAAUCCGGAAGCGAAGCGAGCGGAGAACGCCGACGAGCACACCACCGCCGCCGCCGCCGGCUCACGGUCUACCCACGCGCGUGGAAGCGGGGCGAUGGAGGCGUCGGGAUCCGAGCCGGGGCGGCCAUGGACGGUGUCCGCCACCUGGGCUCCGGCUGGCGGCGCGGCCGUGGAGGACGCCGUCUCGUUCGAGACGUCCGCCGACGACGCGGAGGCCGUCCCCUCCGCCGUCUUCCUUGAACGCCCUUCCCCUGAUGGCGACGGCGACGCUCCUCCCUGCGAGGUCACUGGUGAGUCGUCGUUUUUGACUUGGGGGGUAGCUUAGCUCUCUGGGCUUGUCAGAAUUUUGCGAGUUUGCCGCGGGAUCGCGGUGUUUGCGUUGGUCCGAUCGGAUGCAGGUGCACUCACUGUUGUGAAUUUUAGUUUUGCAGCAUCUAGUCUAGCUUAUGGUCGGAUAAACCCUAGUAGGCUGGUAGAACCAACCGAACCUAGUAGGCUGGUAGAAUCAACCGAAGUGGUUAUCGCUGUUCGAGUUCUAGUGCGUGAAUCAUUCAUAGUUAUCGUUAAAAUGUUCUAAUGCGUAGAGUCCAUGGAUUGGAGGUAUCUGUUUUAGAGAUCCUUUCGUAACUUGAGGAAUCGUUUCGACUUUCGACUAAUACCUUAAGAUAAAAAUUAUGACAGGUUAGUAUGUCAUAUAACGGAUUCAUUUGCUACUGUCUACUGGUUAUUGUUUGCGUGAUACUCUUAAACUUAAGCUUCUUAUGCUUCCAUGACCAGAGCAUUCUUAAUUGAUAACUGAUAGUUUGCGUUACUAUUUAGGAAAAUAUCUGGCUAAGUUUUUACUACUUUAGAUUUGAUUUUUCCAUCAGUGGUAAGCGGUAAGUGUAGAUACCUAGUCUUGUAGUGAAGCUGUUGCACUGUGAACAGUCCAAGCAUCAUCGAUCAUACUGAAGUCUCAAUGAUGUAUUUGUUCAAUUCCUUUGUACUGUCAAUUUGCAGAAAUUGGAGCUACCUGAUAUUAGGAAUUCAAACAAUUUAUUGAAUUGGUGGCAUUUCUUUUUGGAAGAUGAGGAUUGGGUGAUAUUACCACAGAAAGCUCUAAGCACUGUAUACUUGCAGAAAUUGUAGAGUUGCUAAUAUUAGGAAAGUAUCUGUACUAUAGUUUCGUCAUCCUCAUCAAACUACUACUAGUAUUUCUUUUAUGAAAGUAAAAGGAACUGGCAGUAUUCCAUUGAAAGUUGAAACCUUUACAUGGAAUUCUGUAUAAACUACAAAGCCCAUCGUGCCGAAUUUAGAGUCGAUUUUCUUUUCAUUGAUUCAUUGUAUAAAUUUCAAGUCAGUGUCUCACAUCUCAUAGCAUAUACAGCACAGUACCUAGCAUGAUGAAAAUCUAAGCUAUUUUUCCAUUUCAGUAUGCAUAUAUCUGAUUCACAGCUGUUCAUCAGUUCAUUUCAGGGGAAAGUAUGAGAUUCACAGGGUGUAUGUGCGAAGCACAGCUCGGAUUUAUGAAAUAUACUAUACAACUGACCCCAAGGAUAGCUCUAAGGAUUAUCUAUGCACUGUGCGUUGUGGACCUGCAGUUAAAGAGCCACUCCCCUCUGCUGAAGAAAGUAUGCCCCAAUGGAGUAGUGAUGCCUCAACUAGUGAAAAGCAUGAGCAUGAAACCAAAAGCGUAAGCAGUAGUAUUGAUGAAGAUAGCUGGGUUGAUGUCAAAAUCCCAGAGUUACAUGUGGAAAAGAACAGAUCUAAAUCUCAAGAACCUAAUGCAAUUGGAGUCAAACAGGAAACCACUCUGGUAAAGCCUUAUUUCUUGGUUUGUAUCAUGAAAGAUUGUUAAAUACUCAACCAUAAACUUCUGCUGGGAGUGCUCCUAUUGUGAUAUUAGCUUCUAAAAUUUUUCUGUAACUUUGUUUCGCUAUGUGGAAUGCAGGCACACUAUGAAGCAACUGCUGAGAUAACUGAUGCAAGCCCAUGUGUAUCUCUAACUGUUCGCCUCCUUUCACUUCAGUCAAAAACAUCAGUGCACAUCGAGGAGAUUUACAUAUUUGCUGAUCCUGUUGAGCCAACCAAUGAUGAAUCAGAAACACGUCCUGGAAACAUGGGAGGUAGUUCUUUGUUGGCUAUGCUUGUCCCUAGCCUCAUGCAAAUGUCCAAAUCAAGGAACCAGAAAACGGACAAUAAAUAUUUUUCUGAUGCCUCAAGGACUCAGCUUUCCCAAGGUUGUGCAAUGGCAGUGAAUAAUAGUCCAUGUGAAAAUGUAGUGCGAGAUGCAGAGCCGUGUAGCACAGAUGAUUUAAAUUUCAAGUCAGCAGGGAUGGAAAGCAAACUAAAUGCUAUAGAUGGCGAUACAAUAACUUAUGAAAAAGGCAACCAUUAUGAGCUAAAGGAUUCCAAGUCUAUUCUAUUGCCUAUACAAACAACAGAAAAUACACAAGCUCCUUUGACAAAGAACCAGAGUGUGUCAAAUACAGAUCAGCCUGUUACUCCUCUCAUGGAUGAAAAUCCAAAUCCUUACAGUCGCAUUGAGGGAAAGCUGGAUACUCUUCUCUCUAAGAUGGAGAAGAUGGAACUAUACUGCUCCAGGUUUGACGAUGGUAUGAUGAGGCCUAUCUGUAGCAUCGAGUCAAGGCUUCAGCGAUUGGAACAACAGUUUGAUGUGUUCUCUAUGGAGAUUAAGACUUUACAAGCUUCUUCUGCAAGAAUGACAGCCCCAGAUGGUUUAUCUGAUAUGAUUAAUCCACAGGAUAAAACAGAUAAUGAUGGUAAGGCUGAAAAUUCUGCUUCCACAACCAACAGGCAGCCAGGUCUGGUUGUCAGAGCACCAGAGUUUUCUUUAGAAGAAUCCUUCAGUUGCGAUAAGUCCAAUGAAAAUGCAGUUACCUUACGUGGACCGAGCAUGGUGCCAAGGCUUCUUGUUAAGGCUCCUGAUUUUGUUUCUGAAUCUGAGUUUGCUUGUGAGAAGCUUCAUGAUGGGUCUUUCUCACCAGUUGAUUUUGCUCUGUCUUCUGAGAAAGAACCUAAAACUUCCCCAGGUUUAGUUGUCAAGGUUCCAGAAUUUCCAAAUGAUUCAGAUGAUGAAUUGGAGGAAGAGAAAGAAACAGAAGUUGGUGAUCAUGAUGAUGGUCAUACAAAAUCUGAUGCUGCUUUGAGUGAAAGCACUGUUGACAGCUUCAAAAGCAAAUCUCAUGUAUCUGUCGAUGGUGCUCUAGCAUCAGCCUUGGAGGCACUUCUUGGUUCAACCAAGAAAACACCAUCUUCGCAAUCUGCUGCUUGCCCUGCCAGUAAUUCAACUGCUGAAAAUACUACUGAUUCUUCUACCUGCCCAUUUUCUUCUGAACAAGUUGAUGAGACAUCCACUAAUGAUGGCUCGGCUGGCCAAUUAUCUGGUACAUUCGUUGAUGCAAAUAAGGUCAAUACCUUCAUAUCUUGUGAGGAAGCAGAUGCAGUUCCACAAACUUAUAUCUCUAAGGCAAACUUGAAGGCUGAGGUAAACGAUCUGAAUAAUGUUCUCGAUUUGAACAUGAUGGCAUUUGCUGAAAGCACAGAACCCUUGUGUGUUCCACAGCUUCACACAGUUGAGGAAUCUAAAGAUGUUGGAAGCCAAGCAAAUCUAAAGAAUAAUGGCUCUAGUUCAUACAUGAUGCAAUCCAUUGCAAACACUGAGCACAUCAUCGCUCCUUCUCAGCUUCCUACUGUCUUGGAAUCUAUUAAUGAUGGACAACAGUUGAAUGGCAACAGAUCUACCUUGUCCUUGGCAGAGUUUCUUGUGGCAAGAAAUGCUAACUUUAGUAAGAAUGUGAUUUCUGAAGCAUUAUCUAGUAAUGGUGGUGCUGAAAUGCAUACCUUCAAGAGAACAUCGAUGGAAUCUGCUAAGAAUAUAAAGGAUAUCAAUCAACUUCUGCUGCAGAAAGCUCUAGAGGUUAAUGAGGAUGACAGUGCUAAGUUUUCUGUUUCUGGUGGGAUGAACUCUUGUUGUCUUAGAGCCUUUACUGAUUCCAAGAAAAGAUGCAUUGAGAGCAGCGGCUUGGAGGCAAGCCUCAAUGAUAGCUUUACAAAAUCAGAGGUAGAGCACUCCUUGUCAGAUUUGUGUAGUAUGGAAUCAUUUAGUGCAGAACCUGCUAGAGAAGCUGUCGGCUCAGGUGGUGUCACAGCUGGAAAUUGUGUUGAUGAUCCUUUUACAGGUAGUUCUACUGUAAACCCAACUGCAGGCGAAGAGCUGCAAAAGGUGUGUGACUUGCUUUACGAGUACAAUGAUGAUGUUUUAGGCAUGGCUUUCGUGGCAAAGAAAACAAGUAAGAGCAGCCCUUCUCUCGAAGUCCUACUUGCUGAAUCAUCUGAUUCGGAAGCGGAAAUUUCUGAUGCGAAGGACACUGACAAUGAUGCUGGCUUAAGUUCAGCUAGGUUGUUUAGUACAUUCUCGUCUUCAGAUGAUGAAGCUCCUCGCACUGAUGAACCUAUAAUUGAUGUAGUUGAUCUGCCAACACCAUUGGAUGCAUAUGCUUCUUCCAAGAACGAGCUGGUUGAUGAUGAGUCUUUGCUUGAUAUGGAUGAUCCGCCAAUUCCUCCAGAGUCGUAUGCUUCUGUCCUAAGCGACAUGCAUCAUGCAUGUCUAAAUGAUCAAUCAAAACCUUCAGGGACAUUCGCUGGAGAGGGCAAUGGAGAGUAUCCUGACAGCCUUAUAUAGGUUCAAUCAACAUUGUCCCACUUGUUAGAAAUAAGUCGAACAUACUCAAAAAGCCUCAGCUGCACUACUUUUUUUGUUGGUUUUACUGUACAUAUAUCAACGUUUGCUUCCACGCCCAUGCGGUUUUCUGUACAUAUAAGACUUACUGUGAGUAAACAAUUUACCUUUUGGUAUUACCUGUGUACACUUAUCACCUGUCCUUUCACAGUUUCACUGCUGGCCAUUCAACCUUAAGCAGUCAGCAAGUAAGCAUCACAAGAAAAGGCUGAAAAGCGCCCAGAUUUCCACUCUAUACAGUUACCAUCUUGUGACUUCGUCUUUUCACGUGGUUGACGAAUAUCCUGAACUACCAGAGACCGACUCAUCAUUCCAAACCAGGUAUGACUUAUUAUGAGGUAAAUUAUGUUCACCACCGUAGAGUUGGAUUGCCCGAUUUACUGCAACUGUUUCAUUCAUACCUUCUCUGAUCCACUGUAACUGCUAGGAAAUUUCUUUCUUUCUUUCUCUAAUCAUGCAACCAGGUAUGUCUAAUGUUCACCGUAGAGUUGGAUUGCACGAUUUACUCGAUUGUUUCAUACCUUCUCUGAUCCUUGUGAUCCACUGUAACUGUUAGGAUCUUUCUUUCUUUUUUUCCCCUCUAAUCAUGCAUUCAUGCAGCCACUUAUUUCUAGCAGGUCAGUUUCUGGAACACGCCAUGUUACGUGAUGAAACACAAGAACAGGGCUACAUAAUGUACACAUGUGAGCUUGCUUGGCGCCCCAGCGGUCUGCACCACAUGGACUAAUCCUUAAUUCCUCAUGCCAUGGGCCAGGUGAAAUCGUCGUCCCACACGGUACAGCUACAGCAUUAACACUGCAGCCGGCCAGCCUUCGCCAUGGCGUCCAAGUUCAAGGAAAGCAUGGAUUCGUAUCAAUUUGCGGCUCAACUGAAAAGGCGCGGACGUACAGAAAUUUCAGGUAUGGUCGGAUCCAAACUUAUUAGGAUUGGUCGCUUUCUUAUUGGAUGAUACUGUGCGAGAUUUUCCCACAAGAAUCUGUGCGUAUACGGACUUUGGAAUAGAGUCAAUGCACCGCGAUCACACCAUCACUUGUCUAGGAGCACUUUCACUGUGUGACCAUAUCCAAUCUAAACAGAAAUAUAGCCACAAGAAAAUGUAGGGGGGUGCUGUUUGUCGGAAAACACCCUUAUCAAAAACAUUGGUAUUAUCAAACUUUGGUACGAUAACAAAUUGAACAAUGAAACAGCUCCAACUAUCAUAGCGCUACCAAAAUUUGAUAAUUUUUGGAACCUUACACUAAAUCUGGUAAGACCUCAAACCAAACAUCACCAUCCCUAUCGUUACCUUACCAAGUAAAGCAAAACUUGUUAAGAUUAUUUUGGCAUUUCUGCCCUUUCGUCCGUCGCUCUUCUCAUGCGGCAUAUUCGACUCUUAAUUACUCGGCCCAGACCCAACGCUGGCCUUACAAAUCUCUCGUUUAUCAACCAUCAUCAAUAACCUUAUCAAAUUUGGAUAAUUAUAGAACUUUGCAUUCUACAUCAAAAUCUGAUAAGGCCUCGAACCAGAUGUCACCAUCACAUCUUUAACAUAUUAAAAUUUGGUAAGGUUUAUUUUUAUUACAAACCAAACAUGCGCAUAAAUCUCAUCACUCUCUUCACUGUGCCCAAUUUAAACGGAAUAUUUUAGUAAGAAGAAACAUCUUAAUCUUACCGCACAAUGGAAUCUGAAUACGGCUUCAGUUUAACUAAGUUAUCUGAAUACGGCUUCAGUUUAACUAAGUUAAAAAAAAACUCGAAUACUCCAUAUUAAAAACUGCUAUAAAAAUCCAGAGAUCAGUUUUUUUUUUAAAAAAGCAGAGAUGCAGAUGAUGGGAUAAUCCAACUGUCGACUGGAUUGCAAAUGGCACUUUCAGAUAUACUGGUACCAUAAUAGUACUGUUUAAUAACUGCAGUUCCUCUCGAAGUCUCACCUUUGUUAGUGUGAGAGCGAGCUGAUGUGACAUUUGACAAACAACUCAAUCCUCAAUUCAGGCACUUUGUCCUCGAUGUGUUAUUUACAGCUACGCAGUAAACUCGUCAGGACAAUAUGAAAGAUCAACACACGUUCUAAUGCUCAAACUCAAUUAUUCAAAGUGAAACCGCCAAACCGGUGGGUCACAUGCCGGAAUCAAGGCGGUAGGGUUCAGUACUCUAUGCUCAAGUCCUCUUCCUAAAUGGUGCAUUCAUGUCCUUUUGUCAAAAUAUUGUUAAGCACUUAUGAAGCCAUAAAAGAAGCAGGACAAGGUGCCGGACUGCAGAGAAACUUCACUCGUACUCCUACAUAGAAUGAAGUGAAGGAAGCCACUGAAAUGGUGGUCAAGCAAUUACACAAAACAGGUAGCUCCAUAUCUUGUUCAUAUUGACAUACACAAUCCUUGAUGAUGACAAAAAACAAAUUACAGGCAGCUCUUGUCCCCCUCACCAUAAGCUAUAAGGGGCAGAGCACCAUCCAACUUAUGCUAUUUACUUGUUCUGUCUGUCCCUCCCAACUUUGCAAUACCCUUAUCAAGCACAAGAAAGUAAAGAGAACAAGAAAAAAAGAAAAAAAAGAGAGGAUAUGAUGACAGUACAUCAUACAUGUGGAUACAACACUAAAACGAGAGUUCCACACAGCAACCACAUCACAGCACUGAUCCCUGCGUGUGAAGCGAAGCGGUGAACGAUCAGCCGCCGGCGCCGGCGACGACGACGACGGCGACGGCGGCGAGCAAAGCAGAGAGGAGGAGGAGGAGGGGAAGAGGGUGGCGCGGUCGCUCAGAAGAAGGAGCGCUUGGAUGGCGCCCUCCCCACGGCCCUCAUGAAGUUGGCGAGCUCCAGCACGCGCGCC